UCCUUGUUUGCUCAGUUGGUAGGAUCGCUCCUCUGGAAAAGGAGAGAGAGGUCCCUGAUUCGAUACCAGGACCAGGCG
rnacentral:tRNA from 1 species